GAAGCAGAAUCUACAAACCAAUCCCUGAGCAAACUGGAGAAGCAUCAAUUAUACAGAGAACUGAGAGACUGCGUUGAUACUGUGGAGCCCUUAGAGGGGAAACCAUUGGAAGAAGUGGUAGAAAGGGUCAAAUCUGCAACUUCAUCUUUAAGAAGAGUUCUUCUAUCCCCAUUGUUUUCUGAUUUCUUUUCAGAUAAUGGGCCCAUAGAUAUGAUGGAAGAGGAUGCUUUUUCUAG
rnacentral:misc_RNA from 1 species